rnacentral:rRNA from 1 species
GAUCCUGGCUCAGGAUGAACGCUAGCUACAGGCUUAACACAUGCAAGUCGAGGGGCAGCAUGGUCUUAGCUUGCUAAGGCUGAUGGCGACCGGCGCACGUGUGAGUAACACGUAUCCAACCUGCCGUCUACUCUUGGCCAGCCUUCUGAAAGGAAGAUUAAUCCAGGAUGGCAUCAUGAGUUCACAUGUCCACAUGAUUAAAGGUAUUUUCCGGUAGACGAG